rnacentral:rRNA from 1 species
AUUGAACGCUGGCGGCAGGCCUAACACAUGCAAGUCGAACGAGUGGCGGACGGGUGAGUAAUGUCUGGGAAACUGCCUGAUGGAGGGGGAUAACUACUGGAAACGGUAGCUAAUACCGCAUACCAUCGGAUGUGCCCAGAUGGGAUUAGCUAGUUGGUGGGGUAACGGCUCACCUAGGCGACGAUCCCUAGCUGGUCUGAGAGGAUGACCAGCCACACUGGAACUGAGACACGGUCCAGACUCCUACGGGAGGCAGCAGUGGGGAAUAUUGCACAAUGGGCGCAAGCCUGAUGCAGCCAUGCCGCGUGAGUGAAGAAGGUCUUCGGAUCGUAAAGCACUGUCAUCGGGGAGGCGGUACCUGCAGAAGAAGCAACGGCUAACUCCGUGCCAGCAGCCGCGGUAAUUC